GGGCUGUGUUCCUGGCUGGCUGGGCUGGGCGUCCAGGCCCAGCGUCCACCGAGUGCCCUAUGGUGACAUGGGCCUCACUCCUGCUGCUGCCUGGCCUUUCCUCCAGGACAUCUGCUCUGGCACCCAUCUUCGGAAACUCAUCUUCGGGAGAGGAUGCAAUGCCUACACCCCAGGCUGCUGUGCUCAUGUUCCGCGUGCAAAUCAGCCACAUCCACAGCUCUGAGCAUCCCGAUGCCGACUGGGGCUCCCGAUGGGGAUGGAGAACAGAAAAGCCGUGCAUGUCGCCCUCAGACCAAGGCCACAGCUGUGCAGACUGACGUCCACCCUCGCCUGGGGUGCUAUGGAUGCUUCACAUGCACAUCUGUUUGCUGCUUUAAAGUAACUGGCAUGUUUAUGACAUCAGCAUCUGCACUUCUCAGCCAUGUCAGGUGCCCUUCUCGGUUACUCAUAGGUCUCUGCAGUGAACACCUCCAUUUCUGACUUUCUGUAAAACAUUUCAAGAUGAUGCCCACUCAUUUAUUUAUAUAGUUUGCUUUCAUGUGAUUUCGCGGAAUAGUCGUCAAUAUGCCAUUUACUACAGCCCUGGGAUUCUUUCCGGAUUCUUUGAUUAGAUGUACAUUUCCUUUACAUGUUUUACACACACACACACACACACACACACAGAGCAGUGAUCUUUAGCAGUUCCUUUCUUCCUUAGGUAGAAUGGAUCUAAAAUUAGAACCCUCCUUGGCUGGGCACCACCUUCCACGUGUCCUGUACCUGGUCCUGUGUGUUUCUCAGGGUCCGGGGUUUAGCUGCCUCCAACCUGAGUGCAGACUGAACAUGGUGCCAGGGACAUGCU
rnacentral:lncRNA from 1 species